ensembl:lncRNA
GUUUGCUCUCACACAGUAUAGCCACGUGUAAAAUUUAACGUGUAAUUUUAACGUGUAAAAUUUAGUUUUUAAUGAGAAAAACGCUCUGCCAGCCACUGUAUAGAGGCAUUUAAAAGGAUGCUUGCAGAACCACCUGCUCCACCAGCCAGGAUUCUGAGCAUUGCAGGACCCAGAAUUUAACCUUACCACAGCUUUGCUUGUGGAAUUGUUAUACAUCGUUUGACCUACGAAGAACUGGUGGUGGUGAAGAGGAGAUAAACCAUUUCAGGCUGGCGAUGAUGAACUGGAGGAAUGAGAUUUUGAGAAGCCCCUGUCAGAAGGUAUGAUUUUGAGACCUGGGUACUGAGUGAGGAGUCCCAAAUGGAACCAUUAUGUUGAUUGCCUAAGGGGAAGGGUCUUUGGAAGUUGAUGCAAUUUACACUUUGAAUCUCGAGGCAAUAGACUGAGAGUUGUAUUUUGAAUCUUGUAAGAAAUACAGAGGUAUUGGUUCUCAGUUGUCUUCCCAAACUAACUUUUUUUUUUAUGCCGAUUUACUUGGUUUUUAUGUAGAAGUUGUCUUCGGAACAGCACAGUAACUUAGCUGGUAGUCUGUAAAUACCAAACACUCACUACUUGCAUUGCAUGCUUGGGUUUGCUUUGUUAAGGAUGUUUUACAUGAGAAAGUCGCUGCACAUGGAUGCCUAAUGCAUGGGGAGUUGUUAGAUGGAACAGGAAGCCCAGGUUGUAUUCUCAAUUUGACCAGAUCCUCAGAGAGGCAGUCUUUGAAUGGCUCAGGUUGCUUUGGUUCCAGACAGUCUAGAGUAAGCUAAGAUGGGCACGGUGAAGAAAUGAGGGGAACAAAAGGGAGAUUAAGUAGCAAAGGUUGGCUUCAAAGGCUUCUUUAAAUCAGAUUAACAACAAGAAGUUCUGCAGUUUAGCAUCAGCUCCUUAGACUUUGUCAUGGAAUGCCAUGCAACAGAUGGACUAAAAAACACGAGUGCUGUGAGGAGAGUGAGCAAAAAGAGGAAAAGAGUGCCAUUUCCCCUUUUCAGAAUAACUCUCACUGCUUACUUUUCAUAGCAUCAUAUACCUCUCUGCUAGCAGUUGCUGUAGUUUUUGUGAAAAGUCAGGUAUUUUUAAACAGGGGUUGUUUGCUUCUGAAGGAGGAAGCUGGCAAAUUGCUAGCCCAUAUCUGGAUUGCAGAGGAAACUGUGCUGUCUCCAAGGCUGAGUCCUUGCUGCUGGGGUGAGCAUUCUCAUGGGACAAUUCCUAAUAAAAAAAAAAAUGGAGUGAAUUUUAAAAACUAAAUAGAAGAAUAAUCAACAAGUACUGAAUGAAUUAAUUGCUUGUUAGAUCGGACUCCGUUAAUUAAAAUUCCAGUGGAAGCUCAGAAAAAAAUGACAGCUACUAACUGAAAUUUGCAGGUGUGCCAUGAAAUGCCCAACAUGAUAUAUUCCUGUGGAAUACACAAACAGGAAAUGAUUGGUAUGGCUGAAUUAGCUGGCACGAGUACUGUUAUAACAUUGUAUUUUCUAUCUUAAUAUCACAAUUAGUGUGGAAUAGUGACUGGCUUUCUUAAAUAAUAUCCUUAGACUAUUCUGAAAGAUAGCAGCAGCCCCAAAACCUUUCUUUGCUUCCCCAUAUUUGUAGACCGAAAUACAUAGGUUGCUCUGAAAGUAAUGCCUCCUAUUUAUUUCCAUGGAAACAGCAACAGAUACAACAUGCACAAUCACACUGUUUAUAGAGCAAAUUUUCAGCUACAAAGCAUGGUUUUUUAACAAAGUCACCACUAUUAGCUGUGUGUUUUCACACGAGCCUGCAUGCCAUGCUUGUAAAAAUCCACACCCAGAGUCACUGUCACCAGUGCUGAAAUGCACCACCCACCCCUCACUGUGCCCACAGUUGCUGUUUGGUCUCCAGACUCAGCAAGCAUUGGUGGAUGUCUGUGGGUGCAUUUUGUUUCUGCGUGGAGGAGUUCAGUUACACACCUUUGCUUCAUGCACACCUCCAUGUCAGAUGCCUUCCUGUCACACUGCCCCUUUGCUGCCAUCUGUCUCACAGCAAUAGGGUGUAAUAGAAUAUUGGUGGGAAGGUUCAACCUCUACUGCUGUACCACCAACACCCACACCUGACAUCGUGGGCCAAUGUAAUGAAAUAGGAGGCGUUACUUUCGGAGCAGCCCUCAUACUUUUAGGUCAGUGCCUCCAAGUAAGGGCGGCAGCAGCUGAUCUGCAGCAAAGGGAGCAGUGCACAGUGUACCCAAAUGGUACGCACAUGUUCAGAGAGAAAGAGGAUUUCUAGUGCUGCUGAGAUACCAGCCAAAGUGCUUCAGCAGGAACCAAACAGCUGCAAGACAUUUAGGGACAGCUCAGGAAUCCCCAUGAGCUGAAGUGAGACAGGAAGCAGCGAGAAGCUGAAUAAAGUAGCUGAGGGAGAUGCCUUUAUUUAAAGGGAGGAAUUCAGAAGAAGUUCAACA